GCUGCCUAGCCUGUGCAUUCUGCUGGAUUACUUUCCUGGUCACUCAUGUCAGCAUAUAGUGCUCUAUAUCCAUCCUCUCUAUGUCUUGGUUCUUAUGAGCUCUAUUUCCCUAUAACCAUUUCAGGUCUUCCUGCUUCAGUGAUCCCUUUGGAUAUGCUUCUGUAACUUACUGACCAGUUCUUCUUCCCAAUUAAACUCUUGACUGCAUUUCCACCCCCAGCCCCUGGAGCUCUGCCUUGGGCUUCCUAGAACUCAUCCAGGCCAGCCCCAGCUUCUGGCCUGUGCAUUAGAGAAGGUAAGGUGAUCAGAGGUAGAGUUUGUCAUCCUGAGAAGAAAAGCAAGUGGACUGUAAGACAGCAUCUGUUAUUUCCAUGUCAGCAGCAGAGUGUUCUGCACCCAGAGGCGGAUGUGAUGAAGACCCAUCACAUGGCUGGUAGCGUGUGGUGAGUCAGCCGGGCUCCUCGCUGGAUUGCAGGGAACAGGAACCACUGUACUUGGCAACUUGGGCUGUGUCCGCAUGAUUGGAAACAAUCUGUGAAAAAUACCUGCAAGAAAGUGAUUCUGGCAUGGAUUCUGGAGUUGGCUCCAGCCCUGACUCUGUCCCAUACUGGCCACAUGAUCUUGUGAAAUCCAUUCCCCCAGCCUGGAAAUGUGGGCACUUUAUAGAAAAUCUUUAGCUUGUACCUGCACAAAUGGAUGGGUCUUAUUUCCUGUCUGCAGUUCAUGGUGUUGCAAAGGCAUUGCCAAAAACUAUUGACUGAGACAUAAAAGCAAAAAAUGGAUGAACAUGAACGUGGCCUCGUUCACAUGUACAUUUACAAACAAACAGACACAAACAUGAUCGUGUCUACACUUACAGGAAGAGACUCCGCAAAGGGACCUCCUAAUUCAUAGCCUUACUUCCCGCCCCAACCCGUGCCUGGAGGGUGGAAGAGGAGGAGAGGAAGAGAGGAGUUUAGACCAGUGGAUGGGAUCUGAGGGAUUGGGAAAGAUCCCCAGUAGGCCUCUGUGAUCUCUGUGUCGUGAUGCUGGCAACAACACUCUUAAAGAUCCAUCCAUGAUGUCAUUUGAAAAAUAGAAAGAAGACUUCCCUGGUGGUCUGGUGGUUAAGAAUCUGCUUGCCAAUGCACGGGACACAGGUUCAAUUUCUGGUCCGAGAAGAUCACAUACGCCACAGGGCAAGUAAGCCCAUGCACCACAAUGACUGAACACACACUCCCUACAACCCU